AUGUAUACACUUUUAUUUAUUCAACCAUCCAUUUUUAUUCACUGGAGCAACAAGCACGAUAUAAUGCUCCAGGCCACAGUAGUACGUACUCAGGUGAGGCACCGGCCGGGCGGGUGGCUCUCAGGCCUCGGUUGGCAACAUGAUCUUGGCAGGCGAUGUGGCGUUGAGCAUCCACGUGUGAAAGGGGUGGAAGAGGACCUCCUCAGGGCACUGCAGUUUAGGCAGCUUGGGACAGUCGAUGAAGGCCUCGCCGUUCUUGUCGACGCAGAGGUAGAUCUGGUAGAGCUGCUUCUUACCGAACGGCCCGUCCCUGCACUGCACCCCAGGCAUCACUCCAAGCUUCUGGUUCACCGCCCACUUGAUGUGCUCCGUGCUGUACAGCCUGUAGUCCGGGUUGAUGCCCUGCUCGGCGAGAGCGCCGAGGACGUCGGCGUUCUUGCGGAGGUUGAGGGCGGCCCUGAAGUAGUCCACCUCCUUGAGGCCCGAGCAGACGCCGUAGCUACGCCACUCGCUCUUCCAGGUGCUCGUCCCGUCGGUGCGCGGACAAUGGAUGUUGCUCCAGUAGUGGUUCAAGUUGUUCUCAAUUGGCUCCAGCUGCUCAUGCAUGGUUAUAAGAUUACUGCACUACUACAUGCAUAUGCAUAA
rnacentral:rRNA from 1 species